UGGGAAUGGCGGCUGCUAUACAUGCAGUCGAACGCUUUUUCUUUCACCGGAGCUUGCUCCAUCGAAAGAAAAAGAGUGGCGAACGGGUGAGUAACACGUGGGUAACCUGCCCAUCAGAAGGGGAUAACACUUGGAAACAGGUGCUAAUACCGUAUAACACUAUUUUCCGCAUGGAAGAAAGUUGAAAGGCGCUUUUGCGUCACUGAUGGAUGGACCCGCGGUGCAUUAGCUAGUUGGUGAGGUAACGGCUCACCAAGGCAACGAUGCAUAGCCGACCUGAGAGGGUGAUCGGCCACACUGGGACUGAGACACGGCCCAGACUCCUACGGGAGGCAGCAGUAGGGAAUCUUCGGCAAUGGACGAAAGUCUGACCGAGCAACGCCGCGUGAGUGAAGAAGGUUUUCGGAUCGUAAAACUCUGUUGUUAGAGAAGAACAAGGAUGAGAGUAAAAUGUUCAUCCCUUGACGGUAUCUAACCAGAAAGCCACGGCUAACUACGUGCCAGCAGCCGCGGUAAUACGUAGGUGGCAAGCGUUGUCCGGAUUUAUUGGGCGUAAAGCGAGCGCAGGCGGUUUCUUAAGUCUGAUGUGAAAGCCCCCGGCUCAACCGGGGAGGGUCAUUGGAAACUGGGAGACUUGAGUGCAGAAGAGGAGAGUGGAAUUCCAUGUGUAGCGGUGAAAUGCGUAGAUAUAUGGAGGAACACCAGUGGCGAAGGCGGCUCUCUGGUCUGUAACUGACGCUGAGGCUCGAAAGCGUGGGGAGCGAACAGGAUUAGAUACCCUGGUAGUCCACGCCGUAAACGAUGAGUGCUAAGUGUUGGAGGGUUUCCGCCCUUCAGUGCUGCAGCAAACGCAUUAAGCACUCCGCCUGGGGAGUACGACCGCAAGGUUGAAACUCAAAGGAAUUGACGGGGGCCCGCACAAGCGGUGGAGCAUGUGGUUUAAUUCGAAGCAACGCGAAGAACCUUACCAGGUCUUGACAUCCUUUGACCACUCUAGAGAUAGAGCUUCCCCUUCGGGGGCAAAGUGACAGGUGGUGCAUGGUUGUCGUCAGCUCGUGUCGUGAGAUGUUGGGUUAAGUCCCGCAACGAGCGCAACCCUUAUUGUUAGUUGCCAUCAUUUAGUUGGGCACUCUAGCGAGACUGCCGGUGACA
rnacentral:rRNA from 1 species